GUAUAGCAAUAGCUAGUUGCAUCAUUGUAGAUAUGAUGCAAGAUCGACUAUGUUGAAUAAAAUUCUAGGUAGAAUUAUGAUAAUGACAUUGUCUGCCUAUGUGUCUUGACCAAAUUACGUGCCAGCAGUCGCGGUAAUACGUAGAAGACUAGUGUUAUUCAUGUUUAAUCGGUUUAAAGGGUACCUAGACGGUAGAUCAAGCUUUCUAAUAAGUGAAAAGGACUAAUUUACUAGAGUUACUUAUGAGGGGGUAUUAAAGUACUGCUGGUGUAGAGAUGAAAUUCUGUCAUACCUCUUUUCAAAAGAAAAACCAUGGCACAGGUAUAGGCGAAGGCAUCCCCUUAUGUGAUAACUGACGUUGAGGGACGAAGGCUUUGUGUAGCGAACAGGAUUAGAUACCCUAGUAGUCGAAGCAGAAAAUGAUGAAUGUCAUAGAUUAGAUGUAUAAGUUUAUUCUAUAAAUGAAAGUGUAAGCAUUCCACCUCAUGAGUAAUUUGGCAACAUUGGAACUGAAAUCAUUAGACCGUUUCUGAAACCAGUAGUGAAGUAUGUUGUUUAAUUUGAUGAUCCGCAAAAAACCUUACCACAAUUUGAAUAUUUAUAUUUUUUUAUUGUUUUCUUCUGAUUUUCUUCCUUUWKAUAAWACUGAAUACUGAUAUAGAUCAAAAAAGGAAGAAAAUUAAGCAAGAGGCAAUAAGAUAUAUUUACAAGCGUUGCACGGCUGUCUUCAGUUAAUGUCGCGAGACUUUGGUUAGUUCCAUUAAAUUAACGUAAACCCUUACUUUAUUUUUAUAUAGAGUAGUUCCCCGCUAUAUUGGAUAUGAUAACAGG
rnacentral:rRNA from 1 species